rnacentral:rRNA from 1 species
UACGUAGGGUGCUAGCGUUAAUCGGAAUUACUGGGCGUAAAGCGUGCGCAGGCGGUUUUGUAAGCCAGAUGUGAAAGCCCCGGGCUCAACCUGGGAAUGGCAUUUGGGACUGCAAGGCUUGAGUGCGGCAGAGGAGACUGGAAUUCCUGGUGUAGCAGUGAAAUGCGUAGAUAUCAGGAGGAAUACCGAUGGCGAAGGCAGGUCUCUGGGCUGACACUGACGCUCAUGCACGAAAGCGUGGGGAGCAAACAGG